CGGGGAGAGAUCCGAGAUUAGGAAUGGGAGGCUAUAUAUAGGCAUAGAGGGAGCUAGGAGAGUCCAAAUGAGGUGCGGUUUUCGCCCACACGAUCAUGAUCAAACGACCGAGACGAUGGAGCAGAGUUUGGUGGGUUUUGGGCCAAAAUGGAGGGGUGUUGGGCUGCACACACACGAGGCCUUUUCGGUCCCUCGGUUAACCAUUGGAGCAUCAAACGAAGUCCAAAUGACCCGAAACUUGACAGGCGGUCUACCGGUAAUAAACCAAGGCCGCAUGGCAAGUCUCGGUCCAAUCCGGAAAUGUUUAAUCCCCACACACGAAAGAAAGCUAGAUCUGGCCACCGGAGGAGAACGAAGCGUCGGAAUGCAAAACGGACAACGGGGAAAAUGCUCGAAUGCCUGAGAUGAACAUGUAUGCAAAUGCAAUGCGCGUGAAGACAUGAUAUGAGAUGCACGAAAACAAAAACAACACACGGAGACAAAGACCCGAACCCGAGAAUUAAAUAUAACUUAAUGCCGGAAACGGCAAGAGUUGGAGUACAAUUCGGGAAGGUUACAUAUGGGGCGUUACAACACUCCACCACUACGAAAAGAUCUCGUCCCGAGAUCUAGGACUGAAAGAACUCCGGGUACUCAGAACGGAGGUGAUCCUCGCGUUCCCAGGUAGCUUCAUGGUCGGAAUGGUGUGACCACUUGAUUUUGAGAAACUUGAUUGACUUGUUGCGAGUUUUGCGUUCAGUCUCUUCAAGGAUUGCAACUGGGUGCUCACGGUAGGAGAGAUCUUCUUAGAGCUCAAUGUCCUCGAAGUUGAUGGUGCGCUCAGGUGUCUUGAAGCACUUUCGGAAUUGUGAGACGUGGAACACAUCAUGAACAUUGGCAAAGGUUGCAGGAAGCUCGAGUUGAUAGGCGAGGUCGCCUCUCUUGCUAACGAUCUUGAAAGGCCCGGCGUAUCUGGGGGCAAGCUUCCCUUUGAUACCGAAGCAACGAGUCCCUUUCAUAGGAGAGACGCGGAGGUAGACAUGAUCUUCUAUCUCGAAGGCCAAAUCACGGUGCUUGCUGUCAUAGUAGCUCUUUUGACGAGAUUGGGUUGCUUUGAGGUUAUCACGAAUGACCUUGCACAUUUCUUCUGCCUCUGUGAUCAGGUCAUUACCCAGCAGCUGACGUUCACCGGUUUCAGACCAGUUGAGAGGUGUAGGGCACUUCCUACCAUACAGAAUUUCAAACGGGGCCUUGCCGGAACUUGCUUGGAAACUGUUGUUGUACGAGAAUUCAGCAUAAGGAAGACAAUCCUCCCACUUCAUGCCGAAGGAGAUAACACAAGCCCUGAGCAUAUCUUCAAGAAUCUGGUUGACAUGCUCGACUUGACCGCUUGUUUGAGGGUGGAAAGCAGUGCUGAAGCGAAUGUUGGUGCCCAUGGCCUUCUGAAAAGAAUCCCAAAACUUGGAGGUAAAGAUGCUGCCACGGUCUGAAGAUAUCACUUGAGGAAUACCGUGCAGAGAGACAAUUCGAGAGGUCUAGAGCUCCGCCAAUUGAGCUGCAGUGAUUGACUCUUUGAUAGGCAGGAAAUGAGCCACUUUGGUGAGCUUGUCGAUGAUAACGAAUAUAGCAUCAUUGCCACGCUUGGACUUAGGAAACCCAGUCACGAAGUCCAUUUCAAUGUGGUCAAACUUCCAUUCUGGAAUGGCGAGAGGUUGGAGGAGACCUGCUGGCCUUUGGUGUUCUGCUUUCACUCUUCUGCAGACAUCACAUUCAUUCACGAAUUGAGCGAUCUCGCGCUUCAUUCGAGUCCACCAAUAAGUUUGCUUGAGAUCUUGAUACAUCUUCGUGCUCCCAGGGUGGAUGGAGAGGAGAGAGUUGUGAGCCUCAUUCAUGAUCACUUUACGAAGUUCACCUCUGGGCACAACAAUUCGAUCCUCGAAGAAGAGAGUGUCCUUGUCAUCAAGUCGGUAGCACUUGUACUUGGACUGACUCUUUGCAAUACCAAUCUUCACCUUUUUCACCAUAGCAUCAAGAAGCUGGGCUUGGUGAAUCUGGUCUUCCAAGGUAGGAGAAACUUGAAGGUUGGUGAGGAAACCUUGAGGAACAACUUGCAGAUUAAGUUUGCGGAACGCUUCACAAAGCUCGGGUUGAUAAGGCUUGAGAAUCAGACUGUUGCAAUAUGCUUUUCUGCUCAAAGCGUCAGCAAUCACAUUAACCUUGCCUGGAGUAUACUCGAUACUCGGAUUGUACUCUUGAAUCAUUUCGACCCAUCGAGUCUGCCUGAGGUUGAGAUUAGGCUGAGUGAAGAUGUACUUGAGACUCUUGUGAUCAGUGAAAAUGUCCACUUUCCUUCCCAAGAGAAGAUGUCUCCAAGUCAACAAUGCGUGCACAACUGCCGCCAACUCGAGAUCAUGAGUGGGGUACUUCUUCUCAUUUGGCUUCAACUGGCGAGAGGUAUAAGCAACAACUUUCUUCUCUUGCAUCAGUACUGCACCGAGACCUUGAAGAGAGACAUCACAAAAGACCUCGUACGGCUUGGUUUCAUCGGGCGGAGUCAGAACUGGAGCAGUGAUCAAUUUCUCUUUCAAAGCGUUGAAAGCGAUAUCACACUCCGGAGACCAAACGUACUUGACGUGCUUCUGAAGAAGAUUUGAGAGAGGCUUCGCGAUCUUGGAGAAGUUUUCAACGAAUCUUCGGCAGUAGCUUGCGAGACCGAGGAAGCUACGGAGUUGCUUCACAUUCUGAGGAGGUUCCCAAUUAACGAUUGCAGACACCUUCUCAGGAUCCACGGAAAUGCCCUUGGCAGAGAUAAUAUGGCCAAGAUAAAGAACCUCAUCGAGCCAAAACUCACACUUGGAGAACUUGGCGUAGAAUUGAUGUUCCCUUAGCUUGUCAAGAACCAAACGCAAGUGUUUGGCAUGAUCUUCCUUGUUCUUCGAGAAAACCAGGAUAUCAUCGAGAUAGACCAAAACAAAGUCGUUGGUGUAGGGGUUGAAGAUGAAGUUCAUCAUGCGAGAGAACGUCGGAGGAGCAUUGGCGAGGCCAAAAGACAUAACAGUGUAUUCAUAUGACCCAUAGCUUGUUCUGAACGCCGUCUUUGGAAUAUCUUGCUCACGAAUGCGAAUUUGGUGAUAACCCAUACGGAGGUCAAGCUUGGAGAAUACUUGAGCACCCUUGAGUUGUUCAAACAGCUCAUUGAUGUUGGGAAGUGGAUAUUUGUUCUUGAUGGUCUUCUUGUUCAAUGGACGAUAAUCAACACAAAGUCUAUCCGUUCCAUCCUUCUUCUUCACAAAAAGAACACCACAACCCCACGGAGAAGUACUAGGCCGAAUGAGACCCAUCCUUUCUUGAACAUCAAGUUGUUUCUUCAACUCCUUCAACUCUUCGGGGCCGAGCUUGUAGGGACGUUUGCACACCGGUUCCGUACCGGGCUCAAGUUCAAUAACAAAUUCAACCGGCCGGUUUGGAGGCAUGCCUGGGAGUUCUUCAGGGAAGACAUCUUGAUACUCACAAACAACCGGAAUCUGCGAAAUAGCAUCCAAUUCACCCUUUUCAUUGAGAGAGAACAACCGGAUGGUAUUAUCCCGAGCAGCAAAGACAAUUACUUCCUCAGACGAAUGAAUCAGUUGAAUCUGCUUGGCUGCACAAUCCAGCUGAGCUUUAUGUUUAGAGAGUCAGUCCAUCCCAAGAAUAAGAUCGAUAUCAGAAUUGCCAAGAACCGUUGGAGAAGCCAAGAACUUGAAAUCGCCCAACUUGAUAGAAAUAUCCGGAGCAAUGGAGUUAGCCUGCAUGCGUUUACCAGGAGAGACGACUGCUAAUGGACUAGGCAGAAUUUGCUGAGCCAAACCAUGCCUAGAUGUGAAUGGCCUUGAAAUGAAACAAUGCGAAGCACCCCUGUCAAAAAGAACUUUUGCAGGAAUAUCAUUAACAGGGAGGUUACCCAUGAUCACAUCUGACGAAUCCUCUGCCUGAGCUGCGUUCAUCAAGUUGACCUUGGCGGACUUGGGGUUAUGCUUGACCAUAGUUGUACUUGCCGAUCUGACAGGAGGAGGAGGAGGAAGACGCCUCUGGUUGAAACACUUGUUGGCGUAGUGACCCUUCUGUUGGCACUUGUUGCACGUGACCUCUGAGAGCGGACGGUGAUACAGAGCACUCGAUCUUGGAGCUUGAGACGAAGUCUUGUUCUGAAAGCCUGGGUUGGGUGGGUGGGAUGAACCACUGCCACCUUUGCUCUUCUGUUGAUACGGCUGACGGAACGGAGGAGGAGGAAGCCAAUACUUCUGCUGCUUGGCCACUUGAGUGGAGGACGAAGACGUAGUGUCUCUGACUUGCUUCCUAGAAGCAUCACACCUGAGCUGAGCAGCCUCUUGCUUCAGUGCCAUGUUGUAGAACUCAUCGUAUCUCAGCGGCUCGAAAAGGACAAGAGCGAGCUGAAUUUCUUCACGAAGACCACCCCUGAACUGAUAGAUCAUGCUCUUCUCAUCAGGAACAUCCUGCUUGGCAAAACGGGCGAGCUUCUGGAACAACUUGUUGUAGUCAUAGACAGACAAAGAGCCUUGCUUCAGAUUGCGGAAUUCUUCACGUUUGCUUUCAGUCACACUUUGAGGAAUGUGAUGAGCGCGGAAAUCACGACGGAAAUCAUCCCAAGUGAUCAAACGUCCACCUCUGGAAUCCCGGUACUGCUGAAACCACUCUGCGGCCUGAUCCUUGAGCUGGAAAGACGCGAACUUAACGAAAUCUUCAGGUCUGACGUUGCUACAUUCAAAAUGCUUGCCCAGAUCGACUAACCAAUCAUCAGCAUCGGUAGCCUCAACGCAGUUGCUGAACGUCUUUGGACCAUUUGCGAGGAACUGAUUCAGAGUUGCAAAUUGGUUCUGGUUGUUGCCUUGAUUUCCUUGACUGCUUUGAUUCCGCUCUUGGAUGAUUUGCAUGAUCAGCUGAGUAUUUGCAUUAGUAGCAGCCAUCACAGCUUGCCAUGCUUUCGGAGGAGGCGGAGGUGGCGGAGGAUCAGGGUUCGGAGUCGUGCGCGUUGGAGGAGCCAUCCUGAAGAGGUUGACCACCAUUAGCACACAAAUAGAGAAAUAUUGAAGGUGAAUCCAACGGAAUGAAAAUUGCAACAUAAAGUCUUCACAUCCGAACAAAAUGAACGAAUGCACUUCUCUUGAAGUGGUCACAUAUUCCUAAAUUGCGAAGCCACGAAGAAUCAGGUAGAAGAGGUACAUCAACAAGGGAUGGAAUCAACAUAUGACAUCGAAGAAGAAUGAAUACCACAACUCGAAAUAAAACCAAGGGUUGGCUUGCGGAAUAAGCCGGAACAAACACAUGAUAGAAAUUUCGUCCGAAGUGUUCGUGGUAGGACCUACACGGGCUCGACCGUACAGCACCAUCAUGUACAAGGCAGUGCACAUGACAUACGAAGCGUCCCCGAGUCAGCAUAGCCAAGGACUCUUUAAGACACAACGAGACCACUGUAAAAUCGACCGUGAAUAGGCGAACCACUAGACGUCGAACCCCAAUUUCAUAUCAUACAUCUGUCGGAAAGAUAUCCUAAGGCUACUUGAAUUCCCACCUAUGAAAACUCCCGAAACUUUCCGGUUAUGCAAUCAGGUGUUGGGGAUACAGGGGAAGCAUAAUAUCUCACCCAAGCUAGCAAAUCCUACAUCCAGCUGCAUCCAUCCUUCAACACAUAACCAAGAAACCUUCGGAAACCAUCUAUCUCAACCUUCGAAAAACAUCCGUUAUACAAGUUAUGGCGAUACUCCCGAACUCCCGCCCCAGUACUGGGUGGCGUCGAGGUUAUCUCACCAACGAACUGCAUAAAGGAGAUUUUCGAUGUCGCGCACAUAUCUCAAGUAUACCAGAAUUGCAACAAUAAAAUUAUGAUGACAACACCUCAGAGCUCAACUCCCCGGGACACUUCCACUAAACCCCUGACAGGAGGCACCCAGACAGUAUUCUCAUCAUAAGCCAUCGGAACAAAACCAAGAUACUUGCGUGAUCCUAAAAAAAAAUUUAGUGAAAUUUGAGAAGAGAAGAGUCAAAACUCUAUGUCAGGAUGCCUUACCAGAGCGAUGAGGAGACUGGGAAGUAAAAAGAAUUCCUAAGCUCUCCGAUAUAUAAUUCCUAAGGACUCAAAACAUUUUUCUAGACACAACUCGGCUGCUAGAAACGAUCAAGCAAUGGGCUCCUAAGGUCGGGGAAGGCUCUGAUUACCAACUUGUAACGCCCUCGAUGCGGCUAUGUCUCCCACGUGUCGAGGCACGACUUAGAGACAUAGGCGCAUGGAAAGCAAUGUCGCAAGUCGGGAAUCAUUACACAACCCAUGUACAUAUAUAAUAUAAAAGGGGAAUAAUAAUAUAGUUGGCUUACACUCGCCACAUCACAUCAAAGUACAUAAAUAACAUCCAUCAUACAAUCACUCAUGGCCCGACUACGGCGCCAAAAUAGAAAAGACCCCCAACAAGCGACUAAACCCUGAAUCGAACCCCGAAUAGGCACCACUACUGAUCAUCAGGAAACGACACAUAGUAACGCUGAGAGUCCUCGUCGUACUCCCACUUCAGCUCGAGCGCGCCAUCCGGAGAAGUAUCAUCGGUCCCUGCAUCUGGUGUAAUAGUAAUCUGUGAGCCACAGAGGACUCAGCAAUCUCGCACCCUCGCGAUCAAGACUAUUUAAGCUUAAUAGGUAGGAAAGGCGUAAUGUAACUGGAGCUGCAGAAAGCGACUAGCAUAUAUGGUGGCUAACCUAUUCGCAAAUGAGAGCGAGAAGAGAAGGCAAAGCACGAGCGGAAAACUAAAUAGAGCAGCCUACGCAAACAUAACUCCAACGCCGUGUCCACUUCCCAGACUCCACCGAGAAGAGGCCAUCACGGCAACACACUCAGUUGAUUCAUUUUAAUUAUUUAAGGUUCAAGUUAUCUACAACCGGACAUUAACAAAUUCCCAUCUGCCCAUAACCGCGGGCACGGCUUUCGAAAGAUCAAUCCCUGCAGGAGGGUCCCAACUUAGCCCAUAACAAGCUCUCACGGUCAACGAAGGAAUAGACCUCCACCCAGGACCCACCGAUCAGACUCGGUAUCCCGGUACAACAAGAUGAUUCGACAGGUCAAAACUAGUCCAGCAACACCGCCCGAAUGUGCCGACAAAUCCCGAUAGGAGCUGCACAUAUCUCUUUCUCAGGGCACACUCAGAUUGUCUUAGGUACGGGUAGGCCAGCCCAGAGUUGCCCCUGGUGGACACCGGCAGCUAAAUGUUGGACCAACACUCAGAGGAGCACUGACCCGGGGGGGUUAAAAUAAGAUGACCCUCGGGCUCUGGAAACCCAAGGGAAAGAAAAGGGGUAGGUGGCAAAUGGUAAAACCAAAGUUGGGCAUUGCUGGAAAAGCUUUAAUCAAGGCGAACUAUCAAGGGGUUCCCAUUAUAGCCCAACCGCGUAAGGGACGCAACAAUCCGGGAACAUAACACCGAUAUGACGGAAACUAGGGCGGCAAGAGUGGAACAAAACACUAGGCGAGAGGCCGAGCCUUCCACCCUUUACCAAGUAUAUAGAUGAGUAAAGAUAACAUAGCAAUAUAAUGAUAUCCCAACAAGUAAAUAAAUGUUCCAACAAGGGAUGGCUCCAAUCUUCACCUGCAACUAGCAACGCUAUAAGAAGGGGCUUGAGCAAAGCGGUAACAUAGCCAAUCAAUGGUUUGCUAGGACAAAGGUGGGUUAGAGGCUCAAUCAUGGCAAUUGGGAGGCUGACAAGCAAGUGGUAGGCAUCGUAGCAUUGGCAAAGCAAAAGAGCGAGCAAACUAGCAUAGCAAAGAUAGUAGUGAUUUCAAGGGUGUGAUCAUCUUGCCUGCAUAGUUGUCAGAAUUGACUGGAUCCUCAAAAGCAAACUCAACGGGCUCCUCGUUAGCGAACUCGUCUCCCGGCUCUACCCAACAACACAAACAAGCAACAAGGAUACAAUCAACCACGUACAAGGGCAACCUAUAACAUGCAAAGAUGAUAUGCUAUGCGGGAUGCGAUGCGGGUUGCAAAAUGUAAGAUGUAACAGGAAAUGCAUGAACCUGGCCUCAACUUGGAAAACCAAGUGUGCCACUGGAUAGAGGGGAAGAAAUCCCCUGAAAACGAUAUAAAGAUCAUGGCAAUCGGAGCUACGGUUUAGAAAUGGCAAGCGUUUUACUAAACGAACCGAUCUGCGAUUUACAGCAAGUAGGCUCCUAACUGCAACAAAAUGAACAUGCUACAGCCAUCAAACAUGAAAACAAAUUGCAUGGCAGUGAUGAACUCAAGAAGCUUAACAAAUCACCAGGACUGAGGCAUAGGCAAAUUCAUCCAUGAAGGGCUUCAAACAAGCAUGGCAAAACUGAAUAAGCAAAACAGAUUUCAGACUUAGCGAAAUUAACGCUAGUCUGGAAUUUCAGACCACGAUGCUCUCUUCGGAGCAGCAAAACAACAUGAAGAAUAACCUGAACAUGGCAAGUAGGAGCAUGGCAUGGAUCUACUCAAAAAGCUUAACAAAACACCCAAAAUGACCUGGGGACAAAAGGGUACACAAAAUACUCUACCGAGCACACGAACAUCGAUGAAACACAAUCAGUUUUCAGACUUAGUGAAAACUGGGACAUGCUGAAAUAGUAACUCACGGAGGCAUGUAAACGAGCUCGAUGCACUCACUGCGGUGCAAUUCAUGGCAAGGCAAUCAUAUAUCCAUUAAGAAGGCACAAAAUGCUAGCUAGACAUGGCAAGAACAAUGGCAUAGCAUGCAUGGAUCACUAGCAAUAACUCUGGCAAAAUCGCAAAAGAGUUCACGAUCUGCCCAAAACAACAACUAUCUAAAAGUUGAGCUCGAUUGAGUCAACCUCGGGUGCUCCAACAUAACAAGUAAGACAUGGAUGGAUUAAGCACAACAAGCAUAACAAAUCACCCUUAUUGAUCAUCCUCAAAAGAGGCACGGAUCACUAGGAAACAAGCUGGACAUAUAGCAUCGUGAACUAAAACAUCCCAGACUUAGUGAUUUUCACUAAGUCCCUGAAAUCAGUAAACUCAGGUACCCUACUUCGCAAGCUUGCACAAGACAACAUACACAUCCUAAAAAUGCAUGGGAGGCACCUCUGGAAAGAAGACAACAUGCUUAACAAUUCAUCCCAAAGAGGCACAGGCAUAUCAUGCACGGAUUAAACAUGGAAAAAAUGACAAAAGUCAAUGUAGGGCUAACGGAUCUGCAGAUUAACUCAUGAUGCCUCCUACCAACAGCAUUUUGGGCACCAAGAUGACCUCAAAUGCAAAUGAUGCAAUGGAAUGAAAUGAUGUACUCGUCGAGGCGAAGAUUUUGACAUAUCAUAUGCCCAAAUCGGAGCUACGGAUGCAAAGAUAUGGCAGGUCAAAGGAAGCAUAAAAUUCUGGAAAAAGAGGAGGGAAGUCAACCCUAAAAAUUCCAGAUCUGGAUCUGGUGCGGGUUACUGUUCAUGGCACUGUUCACUGGCGCGUUUCCCGAGGAUGGCCGGCGCCAUGGUUCGCCGGAGGUGGCCGGAGUGAGGGGAGGAGGCCGGCGAGGCGGGGUCGACGCGGCCGCGGCGGGCACGGGCGCCGAGGACGGAGGGAAGCGACGGCGGGGUCGGCGAGGCGGCGGACGUGGCGGAGAGGUGGCGCGGGCGGCGCUUGCCGGCGAGGCGGCACGGCAAGGGCGCGCGGUGGUCGGGGUUGGAGGAGAAGGGCGGCGCGGCGUCCCUCNNNNNNNNNNNNNNNNNNNNNNNNNNNNNNNNNNNNNNNNNNNNNNNNNNNNNNNNNNNNNNNNNNNNNNNNNNNNNNNNNNNNNNNNNNNNNNNNNNNNNNNNNNNNNNNNNNNNNNNNNNNNNNNNNNNNNNNNNNNNNNNNNNNNNNNNNNNNNNNNNNNNNNNNNNNNNNNNNNNNNNNNNNNNNNNNNNNNNNNNNNNNNNNNNNNNNNNNNNNNNNNNNNNNNNNNNNNNNNNNNNNNNNNNNNNNNNNNNNNNNNNNNNNNNNNNNNNNNNNNNNNNNNNNNNNNNNNNNNNNNNNNNNNNNNNNNNNNNNNNNNNNNNNNNNNNNNNNNNNNNNNNNNNNNNNNNNNNNNNNNNNNNNNNUGAGGAGGGCUGGAGAUGGGCUUCGGGCCCGGCGGCGGUGGCGAUGUGGUCCGGCGCCACGUGGCGCGGCCCGGGUGGCUGAGGCGGGCGGCGGCGGACGUGUCCGGCCGGGGCGGACGCGUCCGUCGGUGGAUCCUUUUUUUAACUAGGGUUUCGGGGAGAGAUCCGAGAUUAGGAAUGGGGGGCGAUAUAUAGGCAUAGAGGGAGCUAGGUGAGUCCAAAUGAGGUGCGGUUUUCGCCCACACGAUCGUGAUCGAACGACCGAGACGAUGGAGCAGAGUUUGGUGGGUUUUGGGCCAAAAUGGAGGGGUGUUGGGCUGCACACACACGAGGCCUUUUCGGUCCCUCGGUUAACCGUUGGAGCAUCAAACGAAGUCCAAAUGACUCAAAACUUCACAGGCGGUCUACCGGUAGUAAACCAAGGCCGCAUGGCAAGUCUCGGUCCAAUCCGGAAAUGUUUAAUCACCACACACGAAAGAAAGCUAGAAUUGGCCACCGGAGGAGAACGAAGCGCCGGAAUGCAAAACGGACAACGGGGAAAAUGCUCGAAUGCCUGAGAUGAACAUGUAUGCAAAUGCAAUGCGCGUGAAGACAUGAUAUGAGAUGCACGAAAACAAAAACAAC
rnacentral:lncRNA from 1 species